GGCCGGUUAGCUCAGUCGGUUGAGCAUGGUGCUGAUAACACCGAGGUCGCUGGUUUGAUCCCCGUUUGGUCCC
rnacentral:tRNA from 1 species